GGAGGACAGAUGUGUGACCUCGGUGCAGUGGAGCGCUUGGACCUGGCUUAUCUGUCUCACUAAGUGGGAUCCUCAAAGGCAGGGCAUCUGCCCACCUCAAUAACCACAGGGCCUCAGCCGAUGAAGCAGUGUACCCCUGUCCUCCUGCUCUGGUGCCCUGCCCUCCCCCACAGCCAUGGCUCUCAGCCUGGCUAGAGGUGUGAGGUGGGCACCUUCCCCAUACUAUGUUAUGCUCCAGUGAAACUUCAAAAAAAAGGCUGUGUGUGGUUAGUUGCAUAACGGCUCCCAGGAUGUCCACAUCCUAACCCCCAGGCAAGGAGGAACCAAGGGAUGGAGAAACCAGCCUCUGCCAACUCUAUGUACCUGGCCUUGUGCCAGGGAAUGCAGGUGGCCUCUAGGGGCUGGAAAAGGCAAAAAAGAAUUCCUCCCAGCAGCCCCAAGAACACGCCCCGUGCGCUCCAUCAGGGCCAGCGAGAGCUGUGUGAGAAUCUGCUCUGCUUUCAGCCACCAAGUUCAUGGUGAUUUGUUACAGCAGCAACAGGAAGCUACGCUGGGCGAGAGCUGGCUGCUCUGAGGCUGGAGGACCCUUCUGUGACCCUCCCACACUGGCCAAGCCUCUCAGAACUUGGUGACAAGCCACUCUUCAGAUAGGGCCUGGACACACCCACCUCCUGCACACAGCUCGCUGAACCCAGAAGCAGAGCAAAAGGACAAAGAGCAGAAUGACCCAGGCAGUGCUGGGCCCUUGACCAGUCAAUAAAGG
rnacentral:lncRNA from 1 species